rnacentral:rRNA from 1 species
UACGGAGGGUGCAAGCGUUAUCCGGAUUCACUGGGUUUAAAGGGUGCGUAGGUGGGUUGGUAAGUCAGUGGUGAAAUCUCCGAGCUUAACUUGGAAACUGCCAUUGAUACUAUCAGUCUUGAAUAUUGUGGAGGUCAGCGGAAUAUGUCAUGUAGCGGUGAGAUGCUUAGAUAUGACAUAGAACACCAAUUGCGAAGGCAGCUGGCUACACAUAUAUUGACUCUGAGGCACGAAAGCGUGGGGAUCAAACAGG